rnacentral:lncRNA from 1 species
CUCGGCCUGAUUCAGAAAAUCUGUGCCCAGCUGAGGCACGCUGCCUGGCCAGAAUUACUUCUUCUCCUGUCCUGCCAGGGAUCCUCCUGUAGUUUAGAAGCUGGUCUAAAGGCAGCUACCCCUCGGAGCUCCUGGAUUCCCUUCGUCUGCAAUCAGUCCCCACUGUUCACCGUGGUUGUGUUCUUUAAAGCCUCCGCAAACACUGAAGGAGCAAACACUGAACUCCUGCUCCCAGAGAAAACAGAGGCUUAGGCUCCUGCAAGCCACGGGAAACAUUUCUCAUUAACUGCUCAAUAUGUUAACUGAUCAACUCUUUCCACUCAAGGAUACCUUCUGUAGCCAAAAAGGACCUGCUGUAUAACCCAAGGAACUCCACCCCAAAUUCUGUGGGCAAAGAACCCGAAAAAGAAUGGGUGUGUGUAUGUGUAUAACCGAGUCACUUUGUUGUAUGGCAGAAACUGUCACAGCAUUGUAAAUCAACUGUACUUCAGUAAAACUUUAAAACAUGAAAAGAAAAAAAAAAAAAAGAUUCACCCAUAGGAUAAAGAAAUAAAGAUGCCUUAUUCCCUGUAUACUGUUGAUUCAUUAACAUUGAACUUGGAGCCAGCAGCACUCUAACUCAGGCCUCCAUGAAGCUUAGCAAACACAAGAAAGCUUGUCUUUUCUCCCCACAGCAAUCACAGCCUUCGUGCACUUCGGAACACAUGACAACACUUUGGCCCUGUGAUUGGGUACCAUUUCAAACAGCAAACUCACCAACCAAAAGCACAACAAAAUGGGACACUAAAUAGCAAAAACGAUACUUGUUUACAGUAUGAGAACUGAAACAAAAAGAGAGUGGCUUUGUUCCAUCUCAACUGGGAAUGUGUGUGUCGGCUUAUUCAACUGUAUUGCCACUCUGCCCAUGUCCACAAAUGACCAUGAAAGCCCCACAAGUAUUGACUUGUGACUACAAAUACAUGUUAGCAAGCAUGAGUAUUUGCAAAUAUGGAAUCCACGAAUAAUGAAGAUCAACUGGAUUUAAUCAUCAACGUAGUGCCAGGGAGUGUGCUAAGACUUUGCAAAUAUUCACUCUUUCGGCUUCCCAUUAACCAUGUGAACUAGGGACUAUUAUUAUGCCCCUCUUAUAAAUGAGGAACCUGAGGCACAGAGAGGUUUGGCCACCUGCCCACAGUCACACAGCUGGCGAGUGAUGGGGCUAGGAUUUGAACCCACACAGUCUGGCUCCAGAGUUUGGAGCCAUGUUCCAGUUAGGAACCAAACGAAGCUUCAGCUUAAUCCAGAGCAUUUGGUUCUGUCUUAAACUCUUAGGGGUCAAGAAUGUGAAGGCCAGGACAGUGGGGUUCAAGAGAGGAAAAAAUGUGACCAGGAAGUGGAAGGAAAAAGGGACUUUAAAAGGGGAAUGAAUCACAACAUUGUAGAUCAACUAUGAUUCAAUAAAACUUUAACAAAUGAAAAAAAAAAAAAAAGAAAGCAUACCAAUAGGAGUUCCUAUCAUGGCUCAGCGGAAACAAAUCUGACUAGGAACCAUGAGGAUCGCGGGUUGGAGCCCUGGCCUCGCUCAGUGGGUUCAGGAUCUGGCGUUGCCAUGAACUGUGGUGUAGGUUGCAGAUGAGGCUUGGAUCUGAUGUGGCUGUGGCAUAGGCUGGCAGCUGUAGCUCCGGUUAGAACCCCUAGCCUGGGAAUCUCUAUAUGCCGUGGAUGCAGCUCUAAAAAGCAAAAAAGAAAAAGAAAGCAUACAAAUAAAAAGAAAAAACUGAAAAGGGACUACUUGCAAAAAAAUAAAGUUCAGCUUCCAUGUCAUAAUCAAUAUGGUAUGAUAUACCCUUGUAAUAAAAAAAUAAAUCAGCUAGCUACUGAGUGUCAAACAAACUGUAAAUGCCUUGAGAGGCAAAGACCCUGUCUUAUACUUCUGCUUAUAGCAUGUGGAAUUAGUGGUAACCAAAAACAUCAAUCACUUUAACAGAAAAAAAAAAAAAAAUGCUCUUUUUUUAUCCUUCUCUCAAACUAGUAACCAGAUUUGGGAAAGAAAAGUAGCAUCAUCAACUUUUUCGUCCUCUGAAGUUUUCAAGCGCAUUUACUCUUUUCCUCCCUUCAGCAAGUACACCAAGUCCCACAGUCUCAUGGGUUUCAGGGACUAUGUCUGCCAGAGUCUUCACGGUGCCAAGAAAUAACUUCUCUCUUUUUACUUUCUUCAGAGAGAUGUGAAAGAAAACAGUCAAUUCUUCUCUUUCAGAUGGUCUUUUCAAAACCAAAUAAAAGCUCCAACUUUGGUGAACUCUCUGGUAAACAUUACAUUGAAUAAAACUAUUACCAACACACUUCCCUGCUGUACAAAAUUCAGUUAUGAAGAUGAGCAACGUAAUCCAUGUACUAUGAUAGCCAAACGUGAACUCUCUUUUACUGGGGUAGUGCAGUUCACCAGCACGGUCUGUUUUGAAACCCCUCCUCCUUCCCAAAAUAGCAUCGCUUGUGCCUUUAACCCUGUGAUUCAGAGGCAAGCAAAAUGCGCCCAUAAACCAGGAGCCAUGAGUGCAUGUGAGUGGUUCCACCUCUUAAGGGGUGGGGGCUGGGCAGGAAGUGGCCAAAUGGAUGGCUGUCUUUCUGUGGGUGCCCCUAACGGCACCUCACAUCUCUGUACUCAAAGACAUGGGACUCUGACUGGCUCCAAAGAUUUGGCCCCUAAACAACCAGGCGUCCUUUUUAAGUUGGCAUUUCUUCUGGAGAGGAAUAUCAAGCAUCUCUCCUCCACGCCUCACACGGUGCUGGGCCAGCUGUCUAACAAUAUGGAUCCCAGAAGGGGGUGCUGCCCACGUUGGUGACAGCAGCCAUGAGUGCCUGUUGCUCAUCGCUAAUGUCAGAGAGACCUCAGCACGGGGUGGUCCAGGCAGUUGGCUGAGACUCCCCGGGCAAGCGUCCAUGCACCGGGAGUGCCAGCAGAGGCUACCCGAGGGCCAAGGUGGACAUGCCACAGAGUCCUGGACUUCCGGAUGGAGACCAGUCCCAGAGAGUGGACGUCAGUGCUCUCGGGAGGCUGCCCGGGCCAGGUUCAAAGGGACGUGACAUCCGUUCCAAAGAAAUCCCACCUGCUACCGGCAUGGCCAGGCUCAUCUUCCCCACAUACCAGCCUCCCAGGCAAGCCUCCAAGGGCUCGGUGAGGAGGCAGCUGCAACCAUUUGCUGUCUCUGAACGAUCUGGGCUGGGAAGACGUGGAGAUGGGGAAGAAGCAAUGGCCCUUCCCAAUGACGUGGACCCUCCAGUUGGCUGGGCUCCGGAAACACCAUCUUGACCUCUCUGGAGGAAAAACGUGGUUCCCUUUGGCCUCGGGACUCCGGCCAGGCAGAUUGGCUGGAAUACUUUUCUGCAUCCACACACACCCACACCCCAUGGGUGUUCGGGACUGUGACAAUGAAAACCUACUCCAGCACAGCCUUCUCCUUCCAAACUCCAGUGACAUCCCCUUGCCUGAAACGCCCGCCACCAUGUGAAAGCCUGGCUGGGCCACUCAACAGGGACUCCUUAGCUUUACCGCUAUUGAAGAACUUGAGUAUCAAACCAAGCACAAAAGGCCUAAUGCACAGCAGCUGCUGGGGGGUGGGGGGAAGCUCACUCCAUCCCCUUCCCUCUGUCUGGCAGAAGCAACAGAAGGAUUUCUUUCUUUUUUUUUUUUUUUUUUAAUGCCCCAAAAAACUCAUUUAAACUUGGGG